rnacentral:rRNA from 1 species
UAACCUGCCCAAGAGACUGGGAUAACACCUGGAAACAGAUGCUAAUACCGGAUAACAACACUAGACGCAUGUCUAGAGUUUAAAAGAUGGUUCUGCUAUCACUCUUGGAUGGACCUGCGGUGCAUUAGCUAGUUGGUAAGGCAACGGCUUACCAAGGCAAUGAUGCAUAGCCGAGUUGAGAGACUGAUCGGCCACAUUGGGACUGAGACACGGCCCAAACUCCUACGGGAGGCAGCAGGU